rnacentral:rRNA from 1 species
GAUGAACGCUAGCGGGAGGCUUAAUACAUGCAAGUCGAGGGGCAGCAUGACUAAACCUAGUUUAGUUGAUGGCGACCGGCGAACGGGUGAGUAACGCGUACGCAACUUACCUCCGAGUGAGGCAUAGCCCUGGGAAACUGGGAUUAAUACCUCAUAGUAUUUAGAUAUGGCAUCAUGUUUAGAUUAAAGCGUUAGUGCUCGGAGAUAGGCGUGCGUCCUAUUAGCUAGUUGGUGAGGUAAUGGCUCACCAAGGCAACGAUAGGUAGGGGGCGUGAGAGCGUGGACCCCCACACGGGUACUGAGACACGGACCCGACUCCUACGGGAGGCAGCAGUAAGGAAUAUUGGACAAUGGGCGCAAGCCUGAUCCAGCCAUCCCGCGUGCAGGAUGACAGCCCUCUGGGUCGUAAACUGCUUUUAUAUGGGAAGAAACCCCUCGAUUUAUUGGGGCUGACGGUACCAUAAGAAUAAGCACCGGCUAAUUCCGU